rnacentral:rRNA from 1 species
GAUGAACGCUGGCGGCGUGCCUAAUACAUGCAAGUCGAGCGAACGGAUCAGAAGCUUGCUCCCCUGAUUUUAUCGCCCGUCGGGUCAUUCACUCGUGUUUAACCUACCUCUCCGACUGGGAUACCUUUGCGAAAUCGUAUCCUCUACCGGAUAAUUUUUUGCCCCGCAUUGUUCACACGUGAAAUUCGCUCUUUCUUUCACUUAUAGCUUGCUCCGCCCUGCAUUAGCUAGUUGUUAAGGUAACUGCUUACCAAGGCUACGAGGCAUAGCCGACCUGAGAGGGUGGUCGGCCACACUGGAAGUGAGACACAGUCCAGACACCUACGGGAGGCAACAGUAGAGAAUCUUACGGAAGGGAGGAGAGGCGGACAGAGCAACACCGCGUGAGGGAUGAAGGACUUAGGAUCGUAAAGCGCUGUAAGUAGGAGGGAAGAUAAGUGUAAGUAACUGUGAAGAUAAUGACGGUACCGAAUCAGAAAGCCACGGCUAACUACGUG